rnacentral:rRNA from 1 species
GACGAACGCUGGCGGCGUGCCUAAUACAUGCAAGUUGAGCGCUGAAGGUUGGUACUUGUACCGACUGGAUGAGCAGCGAACGGGUGAGUAACGCGUGGGGAAUCUGCCUUUGAGCGGGGGACAACAUUUGGAAACGAAUGCUAAUCCCGCAUAAAAACUUUAAACACAAGUUUUAAGUUUGAAAGAUGCAAUUGCAUCACUCAAAGAUGAUCCCGCGUUGUAUUAGCUAGUUGGUGAGGUAAAGGCUCACCAAGGCGAUGAUACAUAGCCGACCUGAGAGGGUGAUCGGCCACAUUGGGACUGAGACACGGCCCAAACUCCUACGGGAGGCAGCAGUAGGGAAUCUUCGGCAAUGGACGAAAGUCUGACCGAGCAACGCCGCGUGAGUGAAGAAGGUUUUCGGAUCGUAAAACUCUGUUGGUAGAGAAGAACGUUGGUGAGAGUGGAAAGCUCAUCAAGUGACGGUAACUACCCAGAAAGGGACGGCUAACUACGUG